rnacentral:rRNA from 1 species
GACGAACGCUGGCGGCGUGCUUAACACAUGCAAGUCGAACGAAGAGCGAUGGAAGCUUGCUUCUAUCAAUCUUAGUGGCGAACGGGUGAGUAACGCGUAAUCAACCUGCCCUUCAGAGGGGGACAACAGUUGGAAACGACUGCUAAUACCGCAUACGAUCUAAUCUCGGCAUCGAGGAUAGAUGAAAGGUGGCCUCUAUUUAUAAGCUAUCACUGAAGGAGGGGAUUGCGUCUGAUUAGCUAGUUGGAGGGGUAACGGCCCACCAAGGCGAUGAUCAGUAGCCGGUCUGAGAGGAUGAACGGCCACAUUGGGACUGAGACACGGCCCAGACUCCUACGGGAGGCAGCAGUGGGGAACCUUCCGCAAUGGACGAAAGUCUGACGGAGCAACGCCGCGUGAGUGAUGACGGCCUUCGGGUUGUAAAGCUCUGUUAAUCGGGAUGAAAGGCCUUCUUGCGAAUAGUUAGAAGGA